rnacentral:rRNA from 1 species
GAGAAGGGGUGCUUUCUAGGGUUCACGCCCAGGAAAGCCGCAGUGAAUAGGCCCAAGCGACUGUUUAUCAAAAACACAGGUCUCUGCUAAACCGUAAGGUGAUGUAUAGGGCUGACGCCUGCCCGGUGCUGGAAGGUUAAGAGGAGUGGUUAGCUUCUGCGAAGCUACGAAUCGAAGCCCCAGUAAACGGCGGCCGUAACUAUAACGGUCCUAAGGUAGCGAAAUUCCUUGUCGGGUAAGUUCCGACCCGCACGAAAGGCGUAACGAUUUGGGCACUGUCUCAACGAGAGACUCGGUGAAAUCAUAGUACCUGUGAAGAUGCAGGUUACCCGCGACAGGACGGAAAGACCCCGUGGAGCUUUACUGUAGUCUGAUAUUGAAAUUCGGCACAGCUUGUACAGGAUAGGUAGGAGCCUUAGAUACGUGAGCGCUAGCUUACGUGGAGGCGUUGGUGGGAUACUACCCUCGCUGUGUUGGAUUUCUAACCCGCACCAUUUAUCAUGGUGGGAGACAGUGUCAGAUGGACAGUUUGACUGGGGCGGUCGCCUCCUAAAGAGUAACGGAGGCGCUCAAAGGUUCCCUCAGAAUGGUUGGAAAUCAUUCACAGAGUGUAAAGGCAUAAGGGAGCUUGACUGCGAGACUUACAAGUCGAGCAGGGUCGAAAGACGGACUUAGUGAUCCGGUGGUUCCGCAUGGAAGGGCCAUCGCUCAACGGAUAAAAGCUACCCCGGGGAUAACAGGCUUAUCUCCCCCAAGAGUUCACAUCGACGGGGAGGUUUGGCACCUCGAUGUCGGCUCAUCGCAUCCUGGGGCUGUAGUCGGUCCCAAGGGUUGGGCUGUUCGCCCAUUAAAGCGGUACGCGAGCUGGGUUCAGAACGUCGUGAGACAGUUCGGUCCCUAUCCGUCGUGGGCGUAGGAAAUUUGAGAGGAGCUGUCCUUAGUACGAGAGGACCGGGAUGGACAUACCUCUGGUGUACCAGUUGUCGUGCCAACGGCAUCGCUGGGUAGCUAUGUAUGGACGGGAUAAGUGCUGAAAGCAUCUAAGCAUGAAGCCCCCCUCAAGAUGAGAUUUCCCAACUUCGGUUAUAAGAUCCCUCAAAGAUGAUGAGGUUAAUAGGUUCGAGGUGGAAGCAUAGUGAUAUGUGGAGCUGACGAAUACUAAUCGAUCGAAGACUUAAUCAA